rnacentral:tRNA from 1 species
GGCGGUGAGGUUUGAGGCCAUCGACUACUCGCUGGA